AUUGAACGCUGGCGGCAGGCCUAACACAUGCAAGUCGAGCGGCGCGGCGGACGGGUGCGUAAUGCCUAGGAAUCUGCCUGUUAGUGGGGGAUAACGUCCGGAAACGGGCGCUAAUACUGCUUACUUUCAGAUGAGCCUAGGUCGGAUUAGCGAGGUGGUGGGGUAAAGGACUACCAAGGCGACGAGCCGUAACUGGUCUGAGAGGAUGAUCAGUCACACUGGAACUGAGACACGGUCCAGACUCCUACGGGAGGCAGCAGUGGGGAAUAUUGGACAAUGGGCGAAAGCCUGAUCCAGCCAUGCCGCGUGUGUGAAGAAGGUCGUCGGAUUGUAAAGCACUUUAAGUUGGGAGGCGUUACCAACAGAAUAAGCACCGGCUAACUUCGUGCCAGCAGCCGCGGUAAUAC
rnacentral:rRNA from 1 species